UCCAGGGAAUAGAGAACUACACAGAGAAACCAUGUCUUGAAGAACAAACAAAACUCCAUUCUCCUGGAACCAGAUCUCCUUAAAAAAAAUCACUGUGAAUGAAUUAAUGAAGCCAGAAGAAACACAACAUGACACGAAGAAAUGUUCAAAGUAAUGAGACAGGAAACUUACUCGAAGGACAUAAGAGCCAAACUAAAAAAGGACCAAUUAAAACUAUUCCAAAUUGAAUCACAAAAUAAGCAAUAAAAACACUAGGUUAUAGGCCUGGAGAGAUGGCUCAGUGGUUAAGAGAACUGACUGCCCUUCCAGAGGUCCUGAGUUCAAUUCCCAGCAACUACAUGGUGACUCACAACCAUCUGUAAUGGGAUCCGAUGCCCUCUUCUGGUGUGCCGACCUAGCCAACCACGGUGGACAGCAAUGCAGGAUGUUAGCAUCGGGGACAGUUGUCCAAGAGGCUUUCUGAAAACUGAUUUGGAUAUAAUUCAGCAAUGGUGACGUCUGACCUGCUACACUGUACUGCAGCAGUCCAAGGUACUAACUUCUUCCCCCAGACUAGGUAAACAUUCCAAGGGGAACCAAGUGAGCCAUUUGCAGUAGCAGUUAGACACUUCAUUUUAAAUACUGUGCUUAGCCAUAUAACUUCAAGAAAACCAAAUGUGGAUGACUCACCGAAUUAGCAAUGGCAUGGAUGACUCUUGAAAAUCCCACAGCAUCAUUCAGUUCCUCCUAAGUAAAAGAACUAAUUAAAACAGAAAGGCUG